rnacentral:rRNA from 1 species
AGAGUUUGAUCCUGGCUCAGAACGAACGCUGGCGGCGUGCCUAAUACAUGCAAGUCGAGCGGACCGACGGGAGCUUGCUCCCUUAGGUCAGCGGCGGACGGGUGAGUAACACGUGGGUAACCUGCCUGUAAGACUGGGAUAACUCCGGGAAACCGGGGCUAAUACCGGAUGCUUGAUUGAACCGCAUGGUUCCAAUCAUAAAAGGUGGCUUUCAGCUACCACUUACAGAUGGACCCGCGGCGCAUUAGCUAGUUGGUGAGGUAACGGCUCACCAAGGCGACGAUGCGUAGCCGACCUGAGAGGGUGAUCGGCCACACUGGGACUGAGACACGGCCCAGACUCCUACGGGAGGCAGCAGUAGGGAAUCUUCCGCAAUGGACGAAAGUCUGACGGAGCAACGCCGCGUGAGUGAUGAAGGUUUUCGGAUCGUAAAACUCUGUUGUUAGGGAAGAACAAGUACCGUUCGAAUAGGGCGGCACCUUGACGGUACCUAACCAGAAAGCCACGGCUAACUACGUGCCGGCAGCCGCGGUAAUACGUAGGUGGCAAGCGUUGUCCGGAAUUAUUGGGCGUAAAGGGCUCGCAGGCGGUUUCUUAAGUCUGAUGUGAAAGCCCCCGGCUCAACCGGGGAGGGUCAUUGGAAACUGGGGAACUUGAGUGCAGAAGAGGAGAGUGGAAUUCCACGUGUAGCGGUGAAAUGCGUAGAGAUGUGGAGGAACACCAGUGGCGAAGGCGACUCUCUGGUCUGUAACUGACGCUGAGGAGCGAAAGCGUGGGGAGCGAACAGGAUUAGAUACCCUGGUAGUCCACGCCGUAAACGAUGAGUGCUAAGUGUUAGGGGGUUUCCGCCCCUUAGUGCUGCAGCUAACGCAUUAAGCACUCCGCCUGGGGAGUACGGUCGCAAGACUGAAACUCAAAGGAAUUGACGGGGGCCCGCACAAGCGGUGGAGCAUGUGGUUUAAUUCGAAGCAACGCGAAGAACCUUACCAGGUCUUGACAUCCUCUGACAAUCCUAGAGAUAGGACGUCCCCUUCGGGGGCAGAGUGACAGGUGGUGCAUGGUUGUCGUCAGCUCGUGUCGUGAGAUGUUGGGUUAAGUCCCGCAACGAGCGCAACCCUUGAUCUUAGUUGCCAGCAUUCAGUUGGGCACUCUAAGGUGACUGCCGGUGACAAACCGGAGGAAGGUGGGGAUGACGUCAAAUCAUCAUGCCCCUUAUGACCUGGGCUACACACGUGCUACAAUGGAUGGUACAAAGGGCUGCGAGACCGCGAGGUUAAGCGAAUCCCAUAAAACCAUUCUCAGUUCGGAUUGCAGGCUGCAACUCGCCUGCAUGAAGCCGGAAUCGCUAGUAAUCGCGGAUCAGCAUGCCGCGGUGAAUACGUUCCCGGGCCUUGUACACACCGCCCGUCACACCACGAGAGUUUGUAACACCCGAAGUCGGUGGGGUAACCUUUUGGAGCCAGCCGCCUAAGGUGGGACAGAUGAUUGGGGUGAAGUCGUAACAAGGUAGCCGUA